CCUACGGGAGGCAGCAGUAAGGAAUCUUCCACAAUGGACGAAAGUCUGAUGGAGCAACGCCGCGUGCAGGAUGAAGGCUUUCGGGUCGUAAACUGCUUUUAUAUGGGAAGAUUAUGACGGUACCAUAUGAAUAAGGACCGGCUAACUACGUGCCAGCAGCCGCGGUAAUACGUAGGGUCCAAGCGAUAUCCGGAAUUACUGGGCGUAAAGCGUGUGUAGGUGGAUUAAUAAGUGUGAUGCGAAAUCCGGCGGCUCAACCGUUUGGACUGUGUCGCAUACUGUUAGUCUAGAGGACGGCAGAGGUAAGUGGAAUUACGGGUGUAGCAGUGAAAUGCGUAGAUAUCCGUAGGAACACCAAUGGCGAAGGCAGCUUACUGGGCCACACCUGACACUGAGACACGAAAGCGUGGGGAGCGAACAGGAUUAGAUACCCUGGUAGUCCACGCCGUAAACGAUGCAUACUAUUAGUAUGGGGUAUCGACCCCCUGUGCUGAGAAGCUAACGCGAUAAGUAUGCCGCCUGGGGGAGGUACGAGCGCGAGACUUAAACUAACAAAUAGAAGUUAGACGGCGUGAGACGUGCCGAACGGACGACGACGACGGGAGGUUAGG
rnacentral:rRNA from 1 species